CUACGGGUGGCUGCAGUGAGGAAUAUUGCGCAAUGGACGAAAGUCUGACGCAGCCAUGCCGCGUGCAGGAUGACGGCGCUAUGCGUUGUAAACUGCUUUUAUAGGCCAAGAAACCUUCGGACGUGUCCGAAGCUGACGGUUGCAUAUGAAUAAGCACCGGCUAACUCCGUGCCAGCAGCCGCGGUAAUACGGAGGGUGCAAGCGUUAUCCGGAUUUAUUGGGUUUAAAGGGUCCGUAGGCGGAUCAUUAAGUCAGUGGUGAAAGCCGGCAGCUCAACUGUCGAACUGCCAUUGAUACUGGUGAUCUUGAAUACGGUUGAAGUUGGCGGAAUAGGUCAUGUAGCGGUGAAAUGCUUAGAUAUGACCUAGAACACCGAUUGCGAAGGCAGCCAACUAAGCCGUUAUUGACGCUGAGGGACGUAAGCGUGGGGAGCGAACAGGAUUAGAUACCCGCGUAGUC
rnacentral:rRNA from 1 species